GAUGAACGCUGGCGGCGUGCCUAAUACAUGCAAGUCGAGCGAACGGACGAGAAGCUUGCUUCUCUGAUGUUAGCGGCGGACGGGUGAGUAACACGUGGAUAACCUACCUAUAAGACUGGGAUAACUUCGGGAAACCGGAGCUAAUACCGGAUAAUAUUUUGAACCGCAUGGUUCAAAAGUGAAAGCCGGUCUUGCUGUCACUUAUAGAUGGAUCCGCGCUGCAUUAGCUAGUUGGUAAGGUAACGGCUUACCAAGGCAACGAUGCAUAGCCGACCUGAGAGGGUGAUCGGCCACACUGGAACUGAGACACGGUCCAGACUCCUACGGGAGGCAGCAGUAGGGAAUCUUCCGCAAUGGGCGAAAGCCUGACGGAGCAACGCCGCGUGAGUGAUGAAGGUCUUCGGAUCGUAAAACUCUGUUAUUAGGGAAGAACAUAUGUGUAAGUAACUGUGCACAUCUUGACGGUACCUAAUCAGAAAGCCACGGCUAACUACGUG
rnacentral:rRNA from 1 species